rnacentral:rRNA from 1 species
CCUACGGGUGGCUGCAGUUUCGAAUCAUUCACAAUGGGCGAAAGCCUGAUGGUGCGACGCCGCGUGAGGGAUGAAGGCCUUCGGGUUGUAAACCUCUGUCACUGGGGAAGAAACGCUUCAAGUUAAUAGCUUGAAGCCUGACUUAACCCAGAGAGGAAGCAGUGGCUAACUCUGUGCCAGCAGCCGCGGUAAUACAGAGACUGCAAGCGUUAUUCGGAUUCACUGGCCGGCGGCCGUGCGUAUUAGGUCGGAAAGCACGGGGCUUAACCUCGGAAGUGCGCCUAAAACUACACGGCUAGAGCAUUGGAGAGGGUAGCGGAAUUCACGGUGUAGCAGUGAAAUGCGUAGAUAUCGUGAGGAACACCAGAGGCGAAGGCGGCUACCUGGACAAUUGCUGACGCUCAGGCACGAAAGCGUGGGGAGCAAAAGGGAUUAGAUACCCUUGUAGUC